GAACGCUGGCGGUGUGCUUAACACAUGCAAGUCGAACGGGCAAGAGCUGUAGCAAUACAGAAUUCUGCUAGUGGCAAACGGGUGAGUAAUACAUGGGAAUCUACCUUGCAGUGCGAAAUAACAGUUGGAAGCAAUUGCUAAUGUCGCAUAUAGCCGAGAGGUGAAAGAUUUAUCGCUGCAAGACGAGCCCAUGCAGGAUUAGCUAGUUGGUGGGGUAACGGCUUACCAAGGCAACGAUACGUAGCCGACCUGAGAGGGUGAUCGGCCACACUGGAACUGAGACACGGUC
rnacentral:rRNA from 1 species